AUGGCUAUAUCAUGUUGAAACACUGGUUCUUAUACGAUCACCAAAGUUAAGCAAUGCCGAAUCUGGUCAAUACCUAGAUGGGUGACCGAUUAGGAAUACCAGGUGCUGUAAG
rnacentral:rRNA from 1 species